GCAACCACAGAGGCUGUCAAAAAGAACGUUCUUUUAUACUAUAUUGUGUGCUUAUGAUAUUUAUAGUAUUGUUUGCCUGCAAUUAAAUCUUUAUGAUGUGACCAUUUGUUAUUUCUGCUUGCGUAUGCUAAAUGUAUGUUUUGAGUUAGUUUGCUUCCGUUGUAUUAUGAUGUGUGAAGGUUUGUCCAAUCCUAGCAUUACCACUAGUGGUCUGUACAAUCAAAAGCUUUCAAAAGCAAAAAAUAAAAAGAGCCAUGCAAAAAUGCACCAAAAUGGCGUCAUGAGGAGGUCUGACUAAUACUCGUACAUCAGGAGUAAUAAAGUAUGAUCUAAUUGACCAGAUUAUAAAAUUGCCCUGUCCAAAUCAGUAAACUAUUCAAUGAGUU